GCCAGCAGCAGCGGUAAUACGAGGACCCCAAGCGUUAUCCGGAAUUACUGGGCGUAAAGCGCGGGUAGUCGGCUUUGUUAGUCUAAUGUUAAAUCUUAGGGCUUAACCCUGAGGCCGCAUUGGAAACGGCAGAGCUAGAGUGGGUUAGAGGCAAGCGGAACGUGCGGUGUAGGGGUGAAAUCCAUUGAUAUCGCACGGAACACCAAAAGCGAAGGCAGCUUGCUAGGGCUCUACUGACGAUCAGCCGCGAAAGCGUGGGCAUAAAAAAGGAUUAGAUACCCUUGUAUUCCACGCCCUAAACUAUGCAGACUCGCUAUUGGGAGCAUCGACCCUUCCAGUGGCAAAGCUAACGCGUUAAGUCUGCCGCCUGGGAAGUACGAGCGCAAGCUUAAAACUCAAAGGAAUA
rnacentral:rRNA from 2 species